AUUUCUCUACUUCUUAUCAUCUUUUUUUGUUUUGUUUUAAGUGCUUUAAUUUAUAAACUGUUAGUAGAUUUUAACCCGCGGUAUACCGCGGGACGAUUUAUUUUUUAAAAGUAAUAUAUAUUAAAACUUGCAAAUUUUAUUUUUAUAAAAUAUUUAUAUUUUACAGUUUAUAAUUGUUAUUAAGUAACGGUAUACCACGAAUUCAUGAAAUAAUUGUUAAAAAACUGAAGUUUUAACCCCUAUUAAAACAGCAUAUUAAUAAUAUUUUAAAAUUUUAUAAAUAUUGAUUCAAAUACAUCCACCAUAUAACCCAAUUCCAAAAUAGAACUCGUUCUGUAAUUUUUUUUACCGUCACGUGAUUUUUUUAAAAAAUAGU
rnacentral:sRNA from 1 species